rnacentral:sRNA from 1 species
AACAGUGUAAGGCCGUUGUACGCCUGGAGCGUUCCACCCCAGAGCCACUCAACGUAUUAUUUCCGGCUGUGCGUGUGGUGUGGUGGACCAACUACAUUUAUUGGAAGUGAUUAUGUGAAUUCUUACUGUGACUUGAAUGAAUUUUUAUUUUGACCAGGGGGAGAUGUGUGUACUAAGAGAAUAACUAAAUGUGUAUUUGUGCUUUGAUAAAUCUGCCAAAUAGUGUUUCAUGUUUUUUUACAAGAUUCAGAGAAUAAAGUCUCGAUCCUCCCACCAAGAAUUGGCCUGCUCUAUUCUUGUCCUCUUGUCACGUGGACUGUUUCGUACUUCAAGUUUCGUGAAGCGAAUUAUCUUAUAAAACUGUGAACAGAGAAAUAUAGAUGCUGAAUCAGCAGGUCUA